CCCCUCUCACGGUUGCACCUGGAGAGUUUCCAGUCCUCUACCAGCGUCGGCUAUGGGAGGGAGAGUCAAGCAGAGGCCUGUCCAUUCCACUCCUAGCUUGGCCAGUGGCUAGCGAGCGGAAGGCCAUCUGCUACAAGU